UACGUAGGGUGCAAGCGUUGUCCGGAAUUAUUGGGCGUAAAGAGCUCGUAGGCGGUUCGUCGCGUCGGCUGUGAAAACCCGGAGCUCAACUCCGGGCCUGCAGUCGAUACGGGCGGACUUGAGUGUUGCAGGGGAGACUGGAAUCCUGGUGUAGCGGUGAAAUGCGCAGAUAUCAGGAGGAACACCGGUGGCGAAGGCGGGUCUCUGGGCAACUACUGACGCUGAGGAGCGAAAGCGUGGGGAGCGAACAGG
rnacentral:rRNA from 1 species